AGUUUGAUCCUGGCUCAGGAUGAACGCUGGCGGCGUGCUUAACACAUGCAAGUCGAACGAAGCACAGAUGUAGAAUUUCUUCGGAAAGGAAGCGCCUGUGACUGAGUGGCGGACGGGUGAGUAACGCGUGGGCAACCUGCCCCAUACCGGGGGACAACAGCUGGAAACGGCUGCUAAUACCGCAUACGUUUUCGGUGCCGCAUGGUGCCGAAAAGAAAACUCCGGUGGUAUGGGAUGGGCCCGCGUCUGAUUAGCUAGUUGGGAGGGUAACGGCCUACCAAGGCGACGAUCAGUAGCCGGCCUGAGAGGGCGACCGGCCACAUUGGGACUGAGACACGGCCCAGACUCCUGCGGGAGGCAGCAGUGGGGAAUAUUGCACAAUGGGGGAAACCCUGAUGCAGCGACGCCGCGUGAGCGAAGAAGUACCUCGGUAUGUAAAGCUCUAUCAGCAGGGAAGAAAGUGACAGUACCUGACUAAGAAGCCCCGGCUAACUACGUGCCAGCAGCCGCGGUAAUACGUAGGAUGCGAGCGUUAUCCGGAUUUAUUGGGUUUAAAGGGUGCGCAGGCGGACUGUUAAGUCAGCGGUAAAAUGUCGGUGCUCAACACCGGCCGGCCGUUGAAACUGGCAGCCUUGAGUGAGCGAGAAGUAUGCGGAAUGCGUGGUGUAGCGGUGAAAUGCAUAGAUAUCACGCAGAACACCGAUUGCGAAGGCAGCAUGCCGGCUUCCUACUGACGCUGAAGCACGAAAGCGUGGGGAUCGAACAGGAUUAGAUACCCUGGUAGUCCACGCGGUAAACGAUGAGCGCUAGGUGUCCGGGGGGAAUGGCCCCUGGGUGCCACAGCGAAAGCGUUAAGCGCUCCACCUGGGGAGUACGCCGGCAACGGUGAAACUCAAAGGAAUUGACGGGGGCCCGCACAAGCGGAGGAACAUGUGGUUUAAUUCGAUGAUACGCGAGGAACCUUACCCGGGCUCAAACGUUGCAGGAAGGGCUUCUGAAAGGAAGCCCGUCUACGGACCUGCAACGAGGUGCUGCAUGGUUGUCGUCAGCUCGUGCCGUGAGGUGUCGGCUUAAGUGCCAUAACGAGCGCAACCCCUACCGCCAGUUGCCAACAGGCAAAGCUGGGGACUCUGGCGGGACUGCCGGCGCAAGCUGCGAGGAAGGCGGGGAUGACGUCAAAUCAGCACGGCCCUUACGUCCGGGGCGACACACGUGUUACAAUGGCAGGUACAGCGGGAAGCCACCUGGCGACAGGGAGCGGAACCCGAAAGCCUGUCUCAGUUCGGAUUGGAGUCUGCAACCCGACUCCAUGAAGCUGGAUUCGCUAGUAAUCGCGCAUCAGCCACGGCGCGGUGAAUACGUUCCCGGGCCUUGCACUCACCGCCCGUCA
rnacentral:rRNA from 1 species